rnacentral:misc_RNA from 1 species
GAUGGAACGCAGCGAAAUGCGAUAAGUAGUGUGAAUUGCAGAAUUCAGUGAAUCAUCGAAUCUUUGAACGCACAUUGCGCCCUUUGGUAUUCCUUAGGGCAUGCCUGUUCGAGCGUCAUUUAAACCUUCAAGCUCAGCUUGGUGUUGGGUGACUGUCCGCUUCACCGCGGACUCGCCUCAAAAUUAUUGGCGGCCGGUACAUUGGCUUCGAGCGCAGCAGAAACGCGAACUCGGGCCCGUCGUAUUGGCUCCCAGAAGCUAUCUUCACAAUUUUGACCUCGGAUCAGGUAGGGAUACCCGCUGAACUUAAGCAUAUCAAUAAGCGGAGGA